AAAACUUUCAACAACGGAUCUCUUGGUUCUGGCAUCGAUGAAGAACGCAGCGAAAUGCGAUAAGUAAUGUGAAUUGCAGAAUUCAGUGAAUCAUCGAAUCUUUGAACGCACAUUGCGCCCUUGGGAAUUCCUAGGGGCAUGCCUGUUCGAGCGUCAUU
rnacentral:rRNA from 1 species